rnacentral:rRNA from 1 species
GAUAAACGCUGGCGGUGUGCUUUAUGCAUGCAAGUCGAACGGGUUCCGCAAGGAAUCAGUGGCAGACUGGUGAGCAACACGUAAGUGACCUACCCUUAAGUGGGGAACAACUCCUAGAAAUGGGAGCUAAUACCGCAUGGUAUCCUAGUUUUGAAUUAUUAGGAUUAAAGCCGUAAGGCGCUUUUGGAGGGGCUUGCGUCCGAUUAGAUAGUUGGUGGGGUAACGGCCUACCAAGUCGACGAUCGGUAGCUGGUUUGAGAGGACGACCAGCCACACGGGGACUGAGACACGGCCCCGACUCCUACGGGAGGCUG